UUGAACGCUGGCGGCAUGCUUUACACCUGCAAGUCGAACGGUAACAGCACUUCGGUGGCUGACGAGUGGCGACCGGGUGAGUAAUACAUCGGAACGUGCCUAGUAGUGGGGGAUAACUACUCGAAAGAGUAGCUAAUACCGCAUGAGAUCUAAGGAUGAAAGCAGGGGACCUUCGGGCCUUGCGCUACUAGAGCGGCUGAUGGCAGAUUAGGUAGUUGGUGGGAUAAAAGCUUACCAAGCCGACGAUCUGUAGCUGGUCUGAGAGGACGACCAGCCACACUGGGACUGAGACACGGCCCAGACUCCUACGGGAGGCAGCAGUGGGGAAUUUUGGACAAUGGGCGCAAGCCUGAUCCAGCAAUGCCGCGUGCAGGAUGAAGGCCUUCGGGUUGUAAACUGCUUUUGUACGGAACGAAAAGCCCUCUUCUAAUACAGGAGGGUCAUGACGGUACCGUAAGAAUAAGCACCGGCUAACUACGUG
rnacentral:rRNA from 1 species